rnacentral:tRNA from 1 species
GAGCUUGUCGAAGGGGGGACUAAGGAGGAUUUAGAAUCCCUCUCAAUCUCCCCCUGUUCAAGCCAGGGGCAAGCUCU